GGGAGGCAGCAGUGGGGAAUAUUGCACAAUGGGCGCAAGCCUGAUGCAGCCAUGCCGCGUGUGUGAAGAAGGCCUUCGGGUUGUAAAGCACUUUCAGCGGGGAGGAAGGCGAUAAGGUUAAUAACCUUGUCGAUUGACGUUACCCGCAGAAGAAGCACCGGCUAACUCCGUGCCAGCAGCCGCGGUAAUACGGAGGGUGCAAGCGUUAAUCGGAAUUACUGGGCGUAAAGCGCACGCAGGC
rnacentral:rRNA from 1 species